AGAAUAUAAGAACCUGACUUUUAACUUUUAAUUAAAAAAGCUAAGAAUCGGUUCUUAAAUAAGAGUUUUAAGAGACGUUCUUAGCUUUUUUUAGUUAAAAGUUAAGAGACGGGUUCUUAUAUUCC
rfam:Brassica napus, WGS project CCCW01000000 data, contig: 40678